rnacentral:rRNA from 1 species
GAUCCUGGCUCAGGAUGAACGCUAGCGACAGGCUUAACACAUGCAAGUCGAGGGGCAGCACGGUGUAGCAAUACACUGGUGGCGACCGGCGCACGGGUGAGUAACACGUGUGCAACCAACCCCGUACCGGGAGAUAACCCGCGGAAACGUGGACUAACAUCCCAUGAUACUCGAGAGCCGCAUGGCUCUCGAUUUAAAAUUCCGGUGGUACGGGACGGGCACGCGCGACAUUAGGUAGUUGGCGGGGUAACGGCCCACCAAGCCGACGAUGUCUAGGGGUUCUGAGAGGAAGGUCCCCCACACUGGAACUGAGACACGGUCCAGACUCCUACGGGAGGCAGCAGUGAGGAAUAUUGGUCAAUGGGCGAGAGCCUGAACCAGCCAAGUCGCGUGAGGGAAGAAUGGUCUAUGGCCUGUAAACCUCUUUUGUCAGGGAAGAAUAAGGAUGACGAGUCAUUCGAUGCCAGUACUUGACGAAUAAGCAUCGGCUAACUCCGUGCCAGCAGCCGCGGUAAUACGGGGGAUGCGAGCGUUAUCCGGAUUUAUUGGGUUUAAAGGGCGCGUAGGCGGGACGUCAAGUCAGCGGUAAAAGACUGCAGCUAAACUGUAGCACGCCGUUGAAACUGGCGCCCUGGAGACGAGACGAGGGAGGCGGAACAAGUGAAGUAGCGGUGAAAUGCAUAGAUAUCACUUGGAACCCCGAUAGCGAAGGCAGCUUCCCAGGCUCGUUCUGACGCUGAUGCGCGAGAGCGUGGGUAGCGAACAGGAUUAGAUACCCUGGUAGUCCACGCCGUAAACGAUGCUCACUGGAUCUUGGCGAUACACUGCCAGGGUUCAAGCGAAAGUAUUAAGUGAGCCACCUGGGGAGUACGUCGGCAACGAUGAAACUCAAAGGAAUUGACGGGGGCCCGCACAAGCGGAGGAACAUGUGGUUUAAUUCGAUGAUACGCGAGGAACC